CCUACGGGGGACAGCAGUCGAGAAUCUUUCACAAUGGGGGAAACCCUGAUGCUGCGACGCCGCGUGGGGGAAUGAAGCGCUUCGGAUUGUAAACUCCUGUCAUGUGGGAGCAAAUUAAAAAGAUAGUACCACAAGAGGAUGACACGGCUAACUAUGUGCCAGCAGCCUCGGUAAUACAGAGGUCUCAAGCGUUGUUCGGAAUCACUGGGCGUAAAGCGGGCGUAGGCUGUUUCGUAAGGCGUGUGUGAAAGGCGCGGGCUCAAACCGCGGACGGCAGAUGAAACUGGGAGACUAGAGUAAUGGAGGGGUAAGCGGAAUGCUCGGUGUAGCAGUGAAAUGCGUAGAUAUCGCGAAGAACACUGGUGGCGAAGGCGGGUUCCUGGACAUUAACUGACGCUGAGGCACGAAAGCGAGGGGAGCGAACAGGAUUAGAUACCCCUGUAGUC
rnacentral:rRNA from 1 species